GGUGCUUAUUAUAAUCGUCAACUUAUCGAUAAGUAGAUCUUCAAUAAGUGAAGUAGCCAUUUUUAGUCAAAUCUAAUGGAAUCAUUACUUUUAUUGCACUUACUGUUCUUUGACGUUAUGAUUGUUUAUCGUGUUUGAUUUAUAGAUUAAAAGUAAGAAAUUGCAGCCUAAUAAUGGGUAACGCUGGCAGUAAUCAACCAGUUGGCCAUCAUCACACUAGCAGCACAAAUAGAGAACACCGCCAUACUAAAGAAUAUCCUCCACCUUCACCAGGGAAGGAAGGCCAAGCUUUUGUUUUUGAUAAGAAACCAAGUCAAAAAUUAGUUUUCCAAUCAUCUCAUGAGGAGGAAGAACCUUAUUUUGCUAAGACUAAUACACAUCAAGAUGGAGAAGACUUUAGUUCUCAACGUCCACGCUCUAAUACAGUAUCUGAAGGAACCAAAGUAGCAGAUAGCAAAGUUUUACCAACGGUGUUUAAAUGGGAAGGAGGUGGUAAACAGGUUUAUAUCAGUGGAACUUUUACUGGAUGGAAAACAUUACCAAUGGUUAAGAGUCAUGGUGAUUUUGUAACAAUUAUUGAUUUGCCUGAGGGAGAACAUCAAUAUAAAUUUUUUGUUGAUGGUGAAUGGAGACACGAUCCAGAUAUAAAAAUUGUUGAUAAUGGAAUGGGUUCCAAGAAUAAUUUGGUAUCUGUAAGAAAAUCUGAUUUUGAAGUUUUUCAAGCACUUGCAAAAGAUAGCGAGGGUGUUACUAGUAGUGCUCAGACUGAGUACGGGCAAGAAAUUCCUCCUAAUAAGCCCUGGGAGAAAGUAGCUGGUCCACCAAUAUUGCCACCUCAUUUGCUUCAAGUUAUUCUCAAUAAAGAUACUCCCUUAUCUUGUGAACCAACACUUCUGCCAGAACCAAAUCAUGUUAUGUUAAAUCAUCUAUAUGCUUUAAGCAUUAAGGAUAGCGUAAUGGUUCUAUCGGCGACGCAUCGUUAUCGUAAAAAAUAUGUUACAACCUUAUUAUACAAACCAAUUUAAGAUCCUUCGGUCAUUCCCUAAGAUAUUGGCAAUUGUUAGUUACAUCGAAUCAUGGUAUAUUUUGUAGCAACCAGGCUGAACAGCUGUUCCUCCAUUUGGGUAGAAAUCUACGCUUCCUAAAGGUUGCAAAUAGCCUAAGACUCCACCACAAGAAUGAAUAAUAUCGACAAACAUCGCGUCUGUAGGAUCUAAUCGAGUUUUAUCCGAUGUAAG